AGAUUGAACGCUGGCGGCAUGCCUUACACAUGCAAGUCGAACGGCAGCACGGGAGCAAUCCUGGUGGCGAGUGGCGAACGGGUGAGUAAUACAUCGGAACGUGCCCAAUCGUGGGGGAUAACGCAGCGAAAGCUGUGCUAAUACCGCAUAAGAUCUACGGAUGAAAGCAGGGGAUCGCAAGACCUUGCGCGAAUGGAGCGGCCGAUGGCAGAUUAGGUAGUUGGUGAGGUAAAGGCUACGACCAAGCCCUUCGAUUCCUGUAGCUGGUCUGAGAGGACGACCAGCCACACGUGGGACUGAACGACGACGGCCCAAGACCUCCGUACGGGAGCAGCAGGU
rnacentral:rRNA from 1 species